rnacentral:rRNA from 1 species
GACGAACGCUGGCGGCGUGCCUAAUACAUGCAAGUCGAGCGGACUUUCAAGAAGCUUGCUUUUUGAAAGUUAGCGGCGGACGGGUGAGUAACACGUGGGCAACCUGCCUGCAAGACGGGGAUAACUCCGGGAAACCGGGGCUAAUACCGGAUAAUAUCUUCCUUCGCAUGAAGGAUGGUUGAAUGGCGGCGCAAGCUGCCGCUUGCAGAUGGGCCCGCGGCGCAUUAGCUAGUUGGUGAGGUAACGGCUCACCAAGGCGGCGAUGCGUAGCCGACCUGCGAGGGUGAGCAGCCAGACUGAGACUGAGACACGGCCCAGACUCCUACGGGAGGCAGCAGUAGGGAAUCGUGCGCAAGAGACGAAAGUCUGACGGAGCAACGCCGCGUGAGCGAGGAAGGUCUUCGGAUCGUAGAGCUCUGUUGUCAGGGAAGAACAAGUACCGUUCGAAGAGGGCGGUACCUUGACGGUACCUGACCAGAAAGCCACGGCUAACUACGUG